rnacentral:rRNA from 1 species
UACGGAGGGUGCAAGCGUUAUCCGGAUUCACUGGGUUUAAAGGGCGCGUAGGCGGCCACCGCAAGUCGGUUGUGAAAUCUCUGGGCUUAACCCAGAAAGGUCAACCGAUACUGCGGGGCUAGAGUGCAGAAGGGGCAACUGGAAUUCUCGGUGUAGCGGUGAAAUGCGUAGAUAUCGAGAGGAACACCUGCGGCGAAGGCGGGUUGCUGGGCUGACACUGACGCUGAAGCGCGAAAGCUAGGGGAGCGAACGGG